rnacentral:lncRNA from 10 species
AGUAAAGAUUAAAUGUGCUUCUCAAAGGCAGCCACUUCAUGCUGCUAUGUCGAAAGGGCCAUUAUUAUUAUUAUAUUUUAAUGGUAAAAGAGAAAAGGAGAGAGGUUGAGCGAGCGAGAGAGAAGCUAGGUGUGAUGAUGACAGACUAGCUUUUCUGAGAGGAAAAGGAAAAGGGAAGGGAGAGAAAAAGGAGAGCCUCUGAGCUCAACGGAGGAUUGUGCCUGAGAAGAACCCACAGAGGAGGCUGUGCGGGCCCCGCUCCGCUUCGAAUGGAUACAGUUAAGCUAAUGAUCUCGAGAGGAUAUCGUCCUGGAUAAGGGUGGAGCCUACGCCCAAAAACAAGAUUACCUGAAAGAGAAAAGAAAGGGGGAAAACACACAGAGAUACAGUCGGGGAGGCCACAUGAAGAUGGAGGCAGAGACAGGAGUGAUGAGCCUGCAAGCCAAGGAAUGCCAAGGGCUGCCAGCAGCCAUGAGAAGCUGAGAGACACAGAGAACGAGUCCUCUGCCAGAGCCUCCAGAAGGAACUAACCCUGUCAAUACCUUGAUUUCGGACUUCUGGACUCCAGAACUAUAACCCUCCUUCCUCCACCUCACAAAAACUCACAAGCUGCAACCCUUCUGAUGUCCACUCCCACACAAACCAGCUUCAGGCCUUUUUCAAGUGGAUGCUGUGGGGCACCACCUCCUUGAGGACCAAGGCACUCCAGCUGCCAGGAAUUUGGCUGCUAACCUCACACAGCUGAGCCUUCCAUGAAAAUUGCUCUCUGCCAAAGAGAACUUCCUAGUCCAAGGUCAUGUCUACUCUCCAGAGAAAUGCACUGACCCUGCACUCUACAGGACACUAUGCUCAUUCCGAAUGCUAAGAUGUGACUGGAGUGAUUUGCACCCGGAUGCCUAGACUCGCCAUCUGCUCAAAGACUGCUCAGAAAGCCCUCCCAUGCAUUCCCCUGCUGCAUACCAGCCCACUCUGCCUGCAGCUGCUGUCUGCAGGACUUCAUAUCUAUGCCACACUGUGUAAAAGCUGUGCUUCAAGAAAUCACAAAAACAUUUUCCUGCACCUACUACACAGCCUGAGUGCGGCAUAAGUUGACCUUGCUUGCUAAGAAAUGGGGCAAGAAAUGCUUUUUUGUGUGUGUCAUGUCUGUUUGUUUUUCAAUUAAGAGAGGAAAGCAUUAGGCAGAUGGAAUGUACAUGUGAGGAUGAGGAGACAGAAAACAAGUAGCCCUUUCCAUCAAGAUAGAGGGUUUUCUGGGGUUGCUGGCUAUUGAAUGUCACUCCUGAUUUCUCUUUCCAAGGCACUGUACCACCAGCCUACUGAGAUUGUGUGGGAGCUUUCAUGGGGGUUGUAUUUCACUGAUGAAAAUAAAUUUUUUGCAUAAUGUGAAUGUUUAUGUUUCUUUAUAGAAUAGACUUAGUUUAGCAAUAAGCUAAUAAUACUGACGUAACUCUAAUUCUCUGGGGAAAAAAUUUGCUCCCCCACCUUCCAUUCCUGCAACAUCAUCAAAG